rnacentral:rRNA from 1 species
CCUACGGGUGGCAGCAGUGGGGAAUAUUGGACAAUGGGCGAAAGCCUGAUCCAGCCAUGCCGCGUGUGUGAAGAAGGCCUUCGGGUUGUAAAGCACUUUCAGUGGGGAAGAAAGCCUUGGGGCUAAUACCCUCGAGGAAGGACAUCACCCACAGAAGAAGCACCGGCUAACUCCGUGCCAGCAGCCGCGGUAAUACGGAGGGUGCGAGCGUUAAUCGGAAUCACUGGGCGUAAAGCGCGCGUAGGCGGUCUGAUAAGCCGGUUGUGAAAGCCCCGGGCUCAACCUGGGAACGGCAUCCGGAACUGUCAGGCUAGAGUGCAGGAGAGGAAGGUAGAAUUCCCGGUGUAGCGGUGAAAUGCGUAGAGAUCGGGAGGAAUACCAGUGGCGAAGGCGGCCUUCUGGACUGACACUGACGCUGAGGUGCGAAAGCGUGGGUAGCAAACAGGAUUAGAUACCCUGGUAGUC